AUACCGCGUGUGUGAAGAAGGCCUUCGGGUUGUAAAGCACUCUAAGCAGGGAGAAAAAGUUAUAGGUUAAUACCCUAUGACCUUGAUGUUACCUGCAGAAUAAGCACCGGCUAAUUCCGUGCCAGCAGCCGCGGUAAUACGGAAGGUGCAAGCGUUAAUCGGAAUUACUGGGCGUAAAGCGCGCGUAGGUGGUUUGUUAAGUUGGAUGUGAAAGCCCUGGGCUCAACCUAGGAACUGCAUCCAAAACUAACUCACUAGAGUACGAUAGAGGGAGGUAGAAUUCAUAGUGUAGCGGUGGAAUGCGUAGAUAUUAUGAAGAAUACCAGUGGCGAAGGCGGCCUCCUGGAUCUGUACUGACACUGAGGUGCGAAAGCGUGGGUAGCGAACAGGAUUAGAUACCCUGGUAGUCCACGCCGUAAACGAUGACAACUAGCUGUUGGGAGACUAUGUCUUUCAGUGGCGCAGCUAACGCUUUAAGUUGUCCGCCUGGGGAGUACGGCCGCAAGGCUAAAACUCAAAUGAAUUGACGGGGACCCGCACAAGCGGUGGAGCAUGUGGUUUAAUUCGAUGCAACGCGAAAAACCUUACCUACUCUUGACAUACUUGGAGGCUCUUGUAAUGAGAGCGUGCCUUUUGGAACCAAGAUACAGGUGCUGCAUGGCUGUCGUCAGCUCGUGUCGUGAGAUGUUCCGUUAAGUCGGAUAACGAGCGCAACCCUUACCCUUAUUUGCCAGCGAUUCGGUCGGGAACUAUAAGGGGACUGCCGGUGAUAAACCGGAGGAAGGUGAGGACGACGUCAAGUCAUCAUGGCCCUUACGAGUAGGGCUACACACGUGCUACAAUGGAGAAUACAGACGGACGCUAAGCCGCGAGGUGGUGCUAAUCCUAAAAAGCUCUUCGUAGUCCGGAUUGGAGUCUGCAACUCGACUCCAUGAAGUCGGAAUCGCUAGUA
rnacentral:rRNA from 1 species